AUUACAAUACUAAAAAUUUUUUUACACGCAGAAUCGCUAAUUAAGAAACUAUGUUGCGUGCAAUUUGGCAGAAAUAUAAAGCAAUAGGUCAGUUUUCGAAUCACAAUGUUAGAAUCAGGUUUGAAAUGAAAUUUACUUAAAUAUUAUAUUUUAAAAAAAUUAGUUUGAAAUACGUAAUUUUAAUGUGUAGUUUGGAAAGCCAUCAAUAGAUGGCGCUACGAGUUAAAAUUUAACAUUGUAAUCUUAUUUCUGCAAAAAUUCACGAAGUAAUUGAUUUUGAUAUCAGUUAUAAAUCAUAUUUUUUUCUAAAUAAUAUUUAGAAGCGUUUCAUAUAUUCCUUUAUACACAGUUUUCACUAAACAUUGUCAGCUGUCAGCAGAAUGACGUUUACGGCAACCCUAUUGCAUUGCUAUUCCGCACUCGUUUUGUUUACAUUUAUUUGUACUGUGGUCAGUUUGCAAAAAUAAUGCGAAAAUAUCAAGGACGACCGAAAAAACAUCCUGGUUUUAAUAAAAGAUCCAGAAUUCAGCGUAAACGUCGAGCUCAAGAAAAAAAUAUGAAAUUAAAUUCCCGAGAUGUGGAAGAUUCCGAACAAGCGGAUGUUUUCGAAAGGUCAGAAAUUAUUGAUACAACUGCAUCUGUGUCAAAGGAGAAUCAUUGCCCGGAUGAUUUUUUUUACAAAAAGUAAAAAUGAUGAUUGCACAGUAUGAAUGGAUACAAGGAAUGAUAUAAAAGAAUAUAUACAAAAGUGAAAAUAUUAUACAUGGACUAAAGGAGA